GAGCGGGCGUAGCAAUACGUCAGCGGCAGACGGGUGAGUAACGCGUGGGAACGUACCUUUUGGUUCGGAACAACCCAGGGAAACUUGGGCUAAUACCGGAUAAGCCCUCACGGGGUAAAGAUUUAUCGCCGAAAGAUCGGCCCGCGUCUGAUUAGCUAGUUGGUGAGGUAAUGGCCCACCAAGGCGACGAUCAGUAGCUGGUCUGAGAGGAUGAUCAGCCACAUUGGGACUGAGACACGGCCCAAACUCCUACGGGAGGCAGCAGUGGGGAAUAUUGGACAAUGGGCGCAAGCCUGAUCCAGCCAUGCCGCGUGAGUGAUGAAGGCCCUAGGGUUGUAAAGCUCUUUUGUGCGGGAAGAUAAUGACGGUACCGCAAGAAUAAGCCCCGGCUAACUUCGUGCCAGCAGCCGCGGUAAU
rnacentral:rRNA from 1 species